GUCUCCACUCUGGGUGCGGCUGCGAAGGCGUCUUGUCGAUGCGUCCCUGGCUGUCACUGGUACCCACACCCUCUAGAUAAUUGCAUCUCAACUGCUGGGAAACUGACCUCAGGGCGUUGCAGGCAGAACACUUGCCGAGGAGGGAGCGAGGAGGGAGGGGACGCCCCGUCCAGGAAGAGAUCUCGAAGUGGGCACGACCGGAAAUGACGUUGUCCUGCUCCAAAGGCAGCGGACAUCGCUACCCAAGAGCUGCACAGGAAACCUAAAUCAAGGCCACCUUAUCAAGGGGACGUAGGUAACAUCUAUGUCUAGUCACCCUGCCUGCCUGUACAACACCCGCACAGCAGCACUGGAUGAGUGUGUGAGAUCAGGGCACUGUAGCCUGAAGAAAAUCUCCCUUAGACGGAAGCUCGGUGAGGUGUGUAGGUUGUCACCUCAGGAGAGGUUUUGUGUGUUGUGUACGCAGCUAAGAAUACUCAGUAAGCACCGAGUAAAGAUCACUACUUAUGGAAGAAAUGAAUGAGUCGAAACAAAGAGGAUCCAGGCACGGUGGCGCAUGCCUGCAAUCCCAGCACUCCGAGAUUUACUGUGAGUUCGAGGCCAGCCUGGGAGCACAGGGAGGUCAAGGUCAGCCCGUACUACACAGUAGAUCUUGUCUCAAAAUAAUAAUAAUAAA